CAAAAGGAGCCUCCAGCGACUCUCAGCUUCUCCAACAGCUGUGCUGUAGAUGUCCAUAGUUAGGCCUGAUGGAUGCCGUGAUCUGUGGCUCAGCUCAGUUUAAACUGUGGGCUGCUGCUCUACAGCACGUCUGUUGUCUGCGUCGCCCUGUUGCUUGGAAGAAUUUGAGAGGUAGGGUUGCAUUUUAUAUCUGACUGAUUUUCAGCUGUACAAUGUCAUAUACAUACAAUGGGCCUAAUUCUGAUAUCUGUCUGGUUUGCAACGGUAUCUCCUUAUCCCCAGGACACUGAGCGGAGCCUGCGUGAAGAAGUAUCUACUUACAGAACAAAGCGGCGUGUGGGAACAGCGACACAUUACGCAAUGUGUUUUCCUGCGUGUACCUGUUUAAGAGAAGGAAAAGCUACAUCAGCGUCUCUAAAGGAAAGUUGUUGUGCGCUGCAAUAGGUCGACAACCUGCCGCUAAUCCGGAAGUACCGCGCUCCAGGAGAGGCAAAGCCGUGUUUGCCUUUCCCAGGUCGAAAUAAGCAGUUACUAAUUAACAGCAGAUACGGACAGAAUUUUUCAGCUGCGGCUUUGCAAUAGGUGUCAGCGCUGUAAAGCCGGGGCUCGGCGACAGACAAGGGAGCAGCUCUCCCCCUCACCCCGCGACCUCUGCCUCUUCCCAAAACCUCCUGCAAAAAAAUCCCCUUUGCCGUCCCUUGUGUCCGAACGGCGCAACGGACCGCUGCCAGCUACAGCCGCCGAACUUCCGCCGCCUCCGGUUGCUGUCAGACACCGGCUUAUGUUUUGCACUGGUUGACUCGGCAAAAACUGUGCCAUAUUUUUUUUUCAAACCUACAUUUAGAAAUAGAGUUCAGGGCCCAGUUCUGCCAAUUUUGCCCAAUCUAAUACGAUUUUCCAUGCCGUUAAAGGCAGAGAACAGCCAGAGGGCUUGCCUAAACCUGCCAGUAUGCCUGGAUUAGGGUGCAGGGUGAGCUCCAGGCUCAAGAGCUCUCCCCAAACAGGGCUAUUCAGCAGCCCAAGAGCAGGUGCCCAGACAAGCCCUGAGACUGAGACCUCUUGAAGGCGCAGCAGGGCCCCUCAGUGGCGCUGUCAGCUCGGACAGCCGGGGAAUUCUCCUUGUGUUUAACUCCGUAAAAAAAUACCAUGGCGUAAGAACAUACUUGGCUGUGUUUUGGUAGAUUUUGUGGGUCAGGGAGGUGAAGCAAAGCAAGAUUUGCCCCUCUUUGGCUGGGGUUAUGCAGUUGCAGCCAAAGGCGGCUAUUGCCGCUCCCUGCCCGGCUUCCUGCCGGCACAAUCCUGCCGGUUGCGCUGGUACAGCUGCCACGCGGCUCCCCGCUCCGCACGCAGCUGCGCAAACAGACACGAUGGCGCGAGGCUGCCCAAGGGUGGCUGGGAGGAGGUGGAGGGGCCGGGCCUGCUUAGGCUAGCGCUGCCACCUGCAUAUUUUCAGGAGACAAAUAACCUUAAGCCCUGGCUCACCCCGUGGGUGGCCAGGCUGCUUCACAAGCCGUAAAGGCCAAGAACCCGGCAAACCCUGAACGUCAUCGAGCCUCGGUGGUGUGGAUGGACAUGCAAGCUGCACGCUGUUUGUCGCUACUUGUCCCUGACUUUCCAGCCUCCAGCAGGGAACAGAGUAAAAGCAAACAAAGCUCUUGCAGCAGCUCGGUCGUAGGGGCUCACACGUACUUCUUUUGGCUCAGAGCAGCUGGACUGGUUCAGAGAAUGACUGAGCGAAUGAGCACAAUGCGGCUGUAACAGGAGCUUGGUUCCCGGGAGCUGACCUGGGUCCCAGAGACCGGGGAGGUAACGCGAGAGCCGGGCUGCGGCCACGGCAGCGGCAGCGCCUGUUUAUUGGCCGUGUCCGCUCGGGAGGCUUACAAGGGUGCUGAAUGGGUUUUUUAAAAACAAAAGACUGUAUUCACAGUUAUCACAGUUGACUGCAAGUUCCCUAAUCUUGUACAGUUUAGCAAUUUGAGUCUGAUCUCUAUUUUUUCUAUAAGCUCUCGCUGUUUUGGUGGCCAGGCCUGUGCUCGCUGCACCAUGGGACUUGGCGAGAUAUUGCCCAGGGUUUGUGUGUUGUGUGCUUUCUCUUUCACGUCAGCGUUCAGGAGAUUGACAUAUCCUAUGUGUUUAUACAGAAUGAUACAUCUUGAUACAACUGGAUGGAAGACUUUCUUCUUUACUGGAAAAGAGCAUCUUGCAUUAUGAGACAUCACGAGUUACGUUCUUCAUACUUGGCAGAGCACACAUGCACACGCAUAUGUGUGUGUAUGUAUGUGUGUGUGUUGGAAAGAUGAUACAGGAUAUGUGUUCACACAUACACUUCUGUAACCCUGAGAUUAGCAUUGCUUUUAAAGGAUAAUUGUGUCAGAGAAUGUAAUAACCAUUGCAGAAAAAACUUGUAAAAGGUUCUUGUUUUGAUGCACUUCCAGCUUGUAAAUAAAACCCUAUUUCUUCAAACUUCCUGAAAAGAA
rnacentral:lncRNA from 1 species